rnacentral:rRNA from 1 species
AUCAAAAACAUAGUUUAAAGUAAUCUUUUUAAAUGUAUCCUGCCCAGUGUAUUUUAUAAAUGGCCGCAGUACCCUGACUGUGCAAAGGUAGCAUAAUCAAUUGGCUUUUAAUUAGAGUCUGGAAUGAAAGGAUUUAUGGAAAAAAACUGUCUUUAAAGUAUUUUAUAAAAUUUAUUUAAAAGGUGAAAAUACCUUUAUCUUAAGAAAAAAGACGAGAAGACCCUUAGAAUUUUUAUAAUAUAUUUUUACUAUUUAUUUUUGUUGGGGCGACAAUUAAGCAAUAAAACCUUAAGUUAUUUAAAACGAAAUUGUUAUAAAAGAUUAAAUUACCUUAGGGAUAACAGCAUUAUUUAUAAAAGUUUGUGACCUCGAUGUUGGACUAGGAACUUUAUGGCUAGCAGUCUAAAAAGAUUUGUUCUGUUCGAACAAUAAAAUCC